GGAAUCUUCCACAAUGGGCGCAAGCCUGAUGGAGCAACGCCGCGUGAAGGAUGAAGGCCCUAGGGUCGUAAACUUCUUUUAUGAGUGAAGAAUAUGACGGUAACUCAUGAAUAAGGGUCGGCUAACUACGUGCCAGCAGCCGCGGUCAUACGUAGGACCCAAGCGUUAUCCGGAGUGACUGGGUGUAAAGAGUUGCGUAGGUGGCUCGUUAAGUAGAUAGUGAAAUCGUGUGGCUCAACCAUUACGGCUAUUAUCUAAACUGGCGGGCUCGAGAAUGGUAGAGGUAGCUGGAAUUUCUAGUGUAGGAGUGAAAUCCGUAGAUAUUAGAAGGAACACCAAUGGCGUAGGCAGGCUACUGGACCAUUUCUGACACUGAGGCGCGAAAGCGUGGGGAGCGAAC
rnacentral:rRNA from 1 species